CGCGGCGCAACGACCACAAUAUCUACUUUCAAAACUCACUUUUCAUUAAGCGUGGAAUUGAAACCAAAAACUCUGAUUUGACGUCGCGUGAAUCUCUGAAAUCUACGUCCAAAACUUAUUCACUUAGUCACAGUGUGCUCUUUGAAUCAAACAUCAUGGAAUCAAAAAAGAUGCAAAAAGUCCUAGAAUUAGAAUCUUGAAGCUGAGUCUCAAUGUUCAGGUCUCAAACAACAAUGCGAUAUCAAGAUUCUAGAUCAAAAUCGGAGCGAAAACUCACCGAAUCCGAACCUUUGAUGCAAACAGUUAUUGAAUCCAUUUUAUUCUAUGAUUCCAUUGACCUUCUCUUCUUCUUCUUCUUCUUAUUGAACUUGUGCGUGAGAGAGGAAUAUGAAUGAGAGGAUUGAUGUGGUGCUGUGAGUUUAUGGUGAGCGUGCAAAGAUGAUGAUGAUGAGACUGAGAGAGAGACUCAUGGAGAGUGAGAAUUCGAAACUCUGAAGUGUGAUUGGUCAGAAUAUGAAUCUGAGAAUUUGCAGAAUGAAUCCCCCUGAAUUGUGCAGGAAGUGUUGUUUAUAUAUAAUAUCGAUUUAACAGAGUGAAAACUCUAUUAAAUCUGAGAAGCUUUAGGUUGCGCAUUAAAAUGGAGUUUGUGGAAUUGUUGUGGCUUAAAUGGUGACCUGCCAUAACGGGUAUGAUUUCUGCAGAUUGUAUGUGCCACGGGCUGAACCAUGAAACCGCAGGUCAAAUUCAUUUACUGCUGCUUGGUGAUGUUAGUCAUUAUUUGCAAUGAUGUAGGUAACUUUUUUAUGAUAUGUUCUGAAUCACAUCUGCUAGAAAUUUUGUGCAAGUUAAUUCUGUCAUGGGUUGUUCAGUUAGUUUGGAUUGGAUGUUGUCAUGGACUGCAUAUGCCUGCAACUAAUACUAUGUCACAACUCUGUAGAAGAUUAAAUGGGCCAUGAUGCAGGUCAGACCCCUUGCUGCUGAACCCAGGCGCGUGAAUGAGUUUUGGGGCUCAAGUUUGUAAAGGGAGCCAUGUAGUUUUAGGGAAUAGGAUAUGGAAAUGUACAUGAAAUUGAUUUGAAUUCUUUGGGAGAAUUAAUUGAAUGUUAUGGAUUGAAAAUUGACAAUUGUGUAUAAAUGGAAUGCUAUUUUUAAUGGUAACUUGAGAUUUCUUUUUGAA